AUUGAACGCUGGCGGCGUGCCUAACACAUGCAAGUCGAGCGGUAACAGGUGUAGCAAUACAUGCUGACGAGCGGCGGACGGGUGAGUAACGCUUGGGAAUCUGCCUAUUAGUGGGGGACAACCCGGGGAAACUCGGGCUAAUACCGCAUACGCUCUACGGAGGAAAGCCGGGGACCGCAAGGCCUGGCGCUAAUAGAUGAGCCCAAGUCGGAUUAGCUAGUUGGUAGGGUAANGGCCUACCAAGGCGACGAUCCGUAACUGGUCUGAGAGGACGACCAGUCACACCGGAACUGAGACACGGUCCGGACUCCUACGGGAGGCAGCAGUGGGGAAUUGUUCGCAAUGGGCGCAAGCCUGACGACGCAACGCCGCGUGGAGGA
rnacentral:rRNA from 1 species